CGUCCCGGGGACUGGCAGCCCGCCCCGCGGCCCGCCUCCUGCCCAGCCUCGUCUGCUAUGUUUCCAUGGGCUGUGGACCCUUCUCUCCCGCGGAGGGCGCAGCCGCGGCUACUUGGUAGCGGGUUCGGGGCCCGGCCGCGCCUGCGGCGGCGAGAACCAUUCUGGACCGACCUCGGGCCUGCGGAGGUUGUGUGCGGCGUCUGCGGGGUGCAGCGGCCUCACUUCUGAGCGCAGCAAUCGACCCAGUUUUUUACCUGUGAAACUUCGUUUCAAACAGGGAAAUGAAGGGACUAACACCCAGGAUGGCAUAAAGACUAUUUUAAACUGACAACAGGUGAACAAACAGCAGCUGCAGAAAAAAGCCUUCCUGCAUUCCCUUUGAUGAGUAAAGCAGGCCUUUCUGAGAAUUCAGCUGCCAUAACCCUCUCCAAGGGGACCUCUGUAAGGGUGGAGCCUGACUUUGCAUCAGGACCUCCCAGGGAAUUGUGUAAAUACAUCCUAUCAGAACCUUCCAUACUUUCCCACUGCAGCCUUAACACCCUCCUCACCCAUCCCAUUAAGCUGUUGUAUAAAAUCUUAUCUCUGUACUUCAGAGAGCUACUCCUUAUAGCGUGCUCCUGCAUACAUAUAUAAUAAACUUUUCUCCUAUUAAUAUGUCUGUUAGCACACAGGCCCUCAACCACUUGAACCUAAGUUGGUAGAGGCAAAGUUUUCCUCCCAAUGACACUUUCUAGACUUCUCCGGAUACACUAGAGUGUUCAAACACAUAACGAAGUUUGGAAACCUUGACUUUGUUUGAAGUUGGAAGAAUCUACUGUACAUGUACACGGGCUUUCUGGGAAUCCUUUUAAAUUUGUCUCAAACAAUAAACUUUGGGUAGUCACCCUGUGUGUUUAAUAA